UACGAAGGGUGCAAGCGUUAAUCGGAAUUACUGGGCGUAAAGCGCGCGUAGGUGGUUCAGUAAGUUGGAAGUGAAAUCCCCGGGCUCAACCUGGGAACUGCUAUCAAAACUGCUGAGCUAGAGUACGGUAGAGGGUGGUGGAAUUUCCUGUGUAGCGGUGAAAUGCGUAGAUAUAGGAAGGAACACCAGUGGCGAAGGCGACCACCUGGACUGAUACUGACACUGAGGUGCGAAAGCGUGGGGAGCAAACAGG
rnacentral:rRNA from 1 species